rnacentral:rRNA from 1 species
CAGUCGCCGCGGGAAUACGAAGGGUGCAAGCGUUAAUCGGAAUUACUGGGCGUAAAGCGUGCGUAGGCGGUGAGUUAAGUCUGCUGUGAAAUCCCCGGGCUCAACCUGGGAAUGGCAGUGGAUACUGGCUCGCUAGAGUGUGUCAGAGGAUGGUGGAAUUCCCGGUGUAGCGGUGAAAUGCGUAGAGAUCGGAAGGAACAUCUGUGGCGAAGGCGACUAUCUGGGCCAACACUGACACUGAGGCACGAAAGCGUGGGGAGCAAACAGGAUUAGAUACCCCAGUAGUCCCUGUCUCUUAUAC